UAGAUCUAUAUAUAACACACCCACUUUGAUGGAAGAACGAAGACGCAGAAUCGUGUCAGGAACGUUUGAUUUAUCUAAAGAGUAAUAGGUUUGUAAGCUUAAGUCCAAAUAAUCGGUAAUCUGUUGACUGCUCUGCCGGCGGUCAAUGUAAACCAGGUUUGCCAAGCGAAUGCUACAAAUUACGCAGGAGGAUACAAGUUCGGGAUCAGACGGAUUUUCAUAUCCAACGACAUUAUUGGUUUCAGGACGCAUUUCCAUCGAAAGACUGCCCAACUCGAAUGUUCCUACAGAGGGAAAUGUCAAUUGAGAUUCUUGGAUACUAAUGUGAAGCCAUUUCAUCCAAGAUUUGUGAAGAAACUGAAUCCAUUUUUGCUCCACAUUGCGAAGUAAGUUAGACAUGUAAACGGCAUGACAAAAUUUCUCCUCCGUUUUUUCUUCCUCACGCUUUGCUUUAAACACCAAUCGAGAUCUUUGGUUCUCAUUCUUACCAGCCGAUUGUGCAUCAUUAGCACUGGAAAGUGAUGGAGUAUAAAUCAAGCCUUUGGUUACAAUGCGCAGUAAAUAGGGCUUGGAAGUAGAAGGACGAUGCAGACGAAGUGCCACAUACGAGAUGAAAACCGAGUCUCCAUUACGGAACGUGUGUCGUAGGCCAUACACGGAGAAGAAUCCAAAAUUUGUAAAGGGCCAUCCCAGCACGUAUGACAGUACAAAAAGAACCAAAUGAAAAAGGAAACCUGUCGCUAUCACCACCCAAACGAAUGAAGUGUUUUGCGAGGACGACCACAUCGUUGAUGGAUUAAGCAAGGAAAAAGGAAACAACGGGUUCAUCAAGUAUGUAAACACAUAGAGAUUACUAUAAGUUUGUCGUUUUUCCUUUAAUGAAAAGGUAAGGAAAUUGCAGAAACGGAGAGGAGGGAGGAGAAAGGAAACUGUGUAAAAUAAAGCUGGUGUAACGAAGAAAUCCAACUGAGCGGGAAGAGGCGGGAAGGUACACGCUAUGUCAGUGAUCAGCGAGAGCGGUAGUCGCUUGACUAAACAAGUUUAGGGAUUAACGGCCACGUGGAUCGGAAAUUGAAGUCGCUUGAGGAAACCGUUAAAUAUUAUAUCGAUAUGUAGCGCAUACAUUUUUAAGUUUAUUAUCAAAGUAGAGGGAUGUGUGCGUUAUUUUUCAAUUUGUUAAGUAUGUUUUGCGUAU